rnacentral:rRNA from 1 species
AACGAACGCUGGCGGCAUGCCUAACACAUGCCAGUCGAACGAGACCUUCGGGUCUAGUGGCGCACGGGUGCGUAACGCGUGGGGACCUGCCCCUAGGUUCGGAAUAACUCCCCGAAAGGGGUGCUAAUACCGGAUAAUGUCUUCGGACCAAAGAUUUAUCGCCUUUGGAUGGGCCCGCGUUGGAUUAGCUAGUUGGUAGGGUAAAAGCCUACCAAGGCGACGAUCCAUAGCUGGUCUGAGAGGAUGAUCAGCCACACUGGGACUGAGACACGGCCCAGACUCCUACGGGAGGCAGCAGUGGGGAAUAUUGGACAAUGGGCGAAAGCCUGAUCCAGCAAUGCCGCGUGAGUGAUGAAGGCCUUAGGGUUGUAAAGCUCUUUUACCCGGGAUGAUAAUGACAGUACCGGGAGAAUAAGCGCCGGCUAACUCCGUG